GCCCAGGUGGCGGAAUUGGCAGACGCGUACGUUUGAGGGGCGUAUCCCGUAAGGGGUAAGGGUUCAAGUCCCUUCUUGGGCA
rnacentral:tRNA from 1 species